rnacentral:rRNA from 1 species
AAUAGAUACCCCGGUAGUCCAUGCCGUAAACGUUGGGCACUAGGUGUGGGGGACAUUCCACGUUUUCCGCGCCGUAGCUAACGCAUUAAGUGCCCCGCCUGGGGAGUACGGCCGCAAGGCUAAAACUCAAAGGAAUUGACGGGGGCCCGCACAAGCGGCGGAGCAUGUUGCUUAAUUCGAUGCAACGCGAAGAACCUUACCUAGGCUUGACAUGCACGGAAAUCUCGCAGAGAUGCGGGGUCCGUAAGGGCCGUGCACAGGUGGUGCAUGGUUGUCGUCAGCUCGUGUCGUGAGAUGUUGGGUUAAGUCCCGCAACGAGCGCAACCCUCGUUCUAUGUUGCCAGCACGUCAUGGUGGGGACUCAUAGGAGACUGCCGGGGUCAACUCGGAGGAAGGUGGGGAUGACGUCAAGUCAGCAUGCCCCUUACGUCCUGGGCUACACACGUACUACAAUGCUACGGACAGAGGGCAGCAAGUCAGCGAUGACAAGCAAAUCCCAUAAACCGUGGCUCAGUU